CCACUCCCUCACUCCAUCUCAUCUCCUUUGUUGUGCAGUCUUGUGCCCAAAACCCUAAACCCUUGCGUUCUGAAAUCCCGUUUGCUUCUCCAUAGGCAAACUACGUCGACUCAUUCCUCUUAAUUUUGCUUCCAUGGCAUCGUGUUGCAGCAGAGCCAGAGCCAUCAUCAACAGAUCAUCUCUGCCGUCUAUCAAAUCCGCUCUUAGAUCUAAUGUUCCCAAAUCCUCGCUCGCCGGAUCUCCCCCAAUGCCCUCAUCCUCUCGAAGCCCUCUUUCAUCCGCUUCUCCUCUUCGCCGACUCUCCUUCUCCAGGACUCCGUGCGAGCUGGGAUGCAUGGCAUCUAUGUUGCCGCUACACAGUGCAGUGGCGACGGCGAGGAUGACAUCGUGCCUGAGUACAACGUCGAGGAGUUGCCGUUCGCUUUCACAGGGUACACUCUGCUGCACCUCUCCCGGGCUCUAAUAAUACCGUUUUAUUGCACUCUUUGUUUUGAGUGCACAUAAUAGGGAAAGAAUAAACUGGGAAUAUACAGGACCUGUCAAUUAUGGCUGCAUCAUUGUCAAAUGGAGUUGAUGGUACGUGAGACAUUUGCUGUUUUGGAGAGCUUGGUCUGUCCGUUCCAAGGUGACUUACUGCCGGCAAUCACCUAGAGGAGAAAUCAUUUUCAGGUGACUGGAGAAGCAAGGUUCUUUUAUCUGUUACUCCUGACAAUCCUGUCAAUUUAUAAGUACUUGAACCUCCAAAGCAGUGAAGCUAAAUUGAAGCCGGUUUAUUUUAGGUGAUUUUUUCCCUGAUAAAAUAGAUGGAAAAUAAUGAACUGCUCUUGUAGUCUUGUUAUUACUGCGCUACUAGUUGUCAUUUUUAUUGUUUCCCAUUAUUCAAUGCAUACUGCAUAUUUUCGACGCUUAACGCAACCUGAUUAAGGUUCUUAUAUAGCUAAUGUUAGUUUGCCUCAUCGGC